AUGGCCGGCACCGAGGGAGAUGAUGCCUCCAAGGCGGCGGAGCUGGCCAAGGGGAAGCCGGGGGAGCCGGCGACUCCACAGAAGGCGCGGCUCAUCGACGGCAGCGGCAGCGGCGAGGUUCGCGUCGUCGAGCCCAUCGUCCGGCAGACUUCGUCGAUGGUGCAACUUCCCCCGCUGACCCGCACGAACUACACCGAGUGGGCGCUCGUCACGCGAGUGCGGCUGCAAGCGCAAGGCCGAUGGGAGGUGGUCGAGCAUGGCGCCGUCAUCGACUACCGCGAUGAUCGUGAAGCCUUGGGCCUCAUCCUCCAGGCUGUGCCGCCAGAGAUGUUGCGCUCCUUGGCUGCGAAGGACUCGGCGAAGGAGGCUUGGGACACCCUCAAGACCUUGAGGAUGGGGUCCGAGCGCGUCCGCGAAGCCCGGGCGCAGACGCGUCGAUUGGAGUUCGAGAAUCUUCGGUUCAUGGAUGGCGAGAGGAUGGAGGAGUUCGCUGUCCGCCUCACCGGCAUCGUCAACGACCUCGAGGCCCUCGGCAACGGCAUCACCGAGCACAAGGCGGUGCUCAAGUUUCUUCGCUGCGUGCCGCAGCACUACCGGCAGCUCGGGCACUCAAUCCGGUCGCUGCUCGACCUCAAGACCUUGACCAUUGAAGAGCUCACGGGUCGCUCCUUGGCCGUGGAGGAGAGCUUCGACAUGGACGAGGUAGGCAGCAGCGACCGCGGCAUCGGCUGCUCCUCACGGAGGAGUGGCUUGCUCACGACAAGAACCGCCGUGGCGCCGGCAAGAAGAAGAGCACCUUCGACAUCCGCAAGGUUCGCUGCUACAACUGUCAAGAGUACGGGCAUUUCUCGAGGGAGUGCACCGCGCCAAGGAAGGAGCAGGCCCAUCUCACCGCCGCAACUGCCGCCGACGAGCCGGCGCUUCUUUGAAGGUCCACGUGAAGGUGUUCAAAUAAAUGACAACAAGGUUAAGGGGGUGAUUGUUAGAAUUAAUCUUGUUGUAGAGUCCUAG
rnacentral:rRNA from 1 species